GGAAAUCCUCUUAGGUCGCCAUGGGGAAGCAAAUGCGCGGCGUUUACCGAUGUGUCGUUUUAAAGCGCUUUCUAACCGAGGUUUAUGGAGAAGGCGGCGAGGUCCCGCGACCCCGUGGCUGCUUUCAUAUAACUGCGUCUCCUGCGAGGCUUCUGCACGGGGGUUGCUUCUCGUUCCUGACUACCGGGGAGUAGGGUGGCAAAUGGUACCGAAGAGAAAGAGGCUGCGAUGAAUAGAAGGAGAAGGAGAGAGAGGGAAGCUGGAAAGACAGGAGUAUCUAGCAAUUUGUCAAAGAUAUCGGCCCGACUGCGAUCCUGUCGACGUUGUUGUCCUCUCUGGAGGGACGCGGCCAUGACAACGCGAUUUUUGAUCAUAAUUCCGUUUUAAUGAGUACCGAGGACGAAUGCGAUGUGCGUGUAACUUUUUAA